rnacentral:rRNA from 1 species
UGCAAGUCGAACGAGUUCUCGUUGAUGAUCGGUGCUUGCACCGAGAUUCAAUUGGCACGAGUGGCGGACGGGUGAGUAACACGUGGGUAACCUGUUGUAAGUGGGGGAUAACAUUUGGAAACAGAUGCUAAUACCGCAUAGAUCCAAGAACCGCAUGGUUCUUGGCUGAAAGAUGGCGUAAGCUAUCGCUUUUGGAUGGACCCGCGGCGUAUUAGCUAGUUGGUGAGGUAAUGGCUCACCAAGGCGAUGAUACGUAGCCGAACUGAGAGGUUGAUCGGCCACAUUGGGACUGAGACACGGCCCAAACUCCUACGGGAGGCAGCAGUAGGGAAUCUUCCACAAUGGACGCAAGUCUGAUGGAGCAACGCCGCGUGAGUGAAGAAGGCUUUCGGGUCGUAAAACUCUGUUGUUGGAGAAGAAUGGUCGGCAGAGUAACUGUUGUCGGCGUGACGGUAUCCAACCAGAAAGCCACGGCUAACUACGUGCCAGCAGCCGCGGUAAUACGUAGGUGGCAAGCGUUAUCCGGAUUUAUUGGGCGUAAAGCGAGCGCAGGCGGUUUUUUAAGUCUGAUGUGAAAGCCCUCGGCUUAACCGAGGAAGCGCAUCGGAAACUGGGAAACUUGAGUGCAGAAGAGGACAGUGGAACUCCAUGUGUAGCGGUGAAAUGCGUAGAUAUAUGGAAGAACACCAGUGGCGAAGGCGGCUGUCUGGUCUGUAACUGACGCUGAGGCUCGAAAGCAUGGGUAGCGAACAGGAUUAGAUACCCUGGUAGUCCAUGCCGUAAACGAUGAAUGCUAGGUGUUGGAGGGUUUCCGCCCUUCAGUGCCGCAGCUAACGCAUUAAGCAUUCCGCCUGGGGAGUACGACCGCAAGGUUGAAACUCAAAGGAAUUGACGGGGGCCCGCACAAGCGGUGGAGCAUGUGGUUUAAUUCGAAGCAACGCGAAGAACCUUACCAGGUCUUGACAUCUUUUGAUCACCUGAGAGAUCAGGUUUCCCCUUCGGGGGCAAAAUGACAGGUGGUGCAUGGUUGUCGUCAGCUCGUGUCGUGAGAUGUUGGGUUAAGUCCCGCAACGAGCGCAACCCUUAUGACUAGUUGCCAGCAUUUAGUUGGGCACUCUAGUAAGACUGCCGGUGACAAACCGGAGGAAGGUGGGGAUGACGUCAAAUCAUCAUGCCCCUUAUGACCUGGGCUACACACGUGCUACAAUGGAUGGUACAACGAGUUGCGAGACCGCGAGGUCAAGCUAAUCUCUUAAAGCCAUUCUCAGUUCGGACUGUAGGCUGCAACUCGCCUACACGAAGUCGGAAUCGCUAGUAAUCGCGGAUCAGCACGCCGCGGUGAAUACGUUCCCGGGCCUUGUACACACCGCCCGUCACACCAUGAGAGUUUGUAACACCCGAAGCCGGUGGCGUAACCCUUUUAGGGAGCGAGCCGUCU